UACGUAGGGGGCAAGCGUUGUCCGGAUUUACUGGGCGUAAAGAGCGCGUAGGCGGAAGCUUAAGUGUGGCCUGAAAGCCCCCGGCUCAACCGGGGAAGGUGGCUGCAAACUGGGCUUCUUGAGGGCGAUAGAGGAGGGUGGAAUUCCUGGUGUAGCGGUGAAAUGCGCAGAUAUCAGGAAGAACACCCGUGGCGAAGGCAGGUCUCUGGGCCUGUCCUGACGCUGAGGCGCGAAAGCUAGGGGAGCGAACAGG
rnacentral:rRNA from 1 species